rnacentral:sRNA from 1 species
GCAAAUCUGGCUUGAGCAGAACGACUCCAGCUUGGGUUCCUGUAGCAAUAGCGGUUGCCCGAAUGCGGUUUGGUGAUGACUCACUAGCUUUUUUACAUGAAUGCCACCAAUAAAGUACUUUAUUGGGCUGUGCAGUGACUGAAUAACCUACCCCCUGUGGUCUUUGAGCAGGUAAGCAGGUGGCCUUUGUAACUUGUGCCCAGCCGAAAGCCUCUUUCCUGCCUCCUAAGUUUUCCUCUGGGCCUUAGGUUUGGGCCGACUUUCUCUCUGGCCCAAAGUUCAGAUUUUAUCCCAAACACGUUCAUUGUCCUUGAAUCUGCCACUGCUUGCUCUUCCACGCUCGGUGAGGCAGAUAGAGGGAGAGGGAAAUUGUGGUUUCAACACUCUCGCUUCUGUUCUUGGAAGUUUAUUGUGUUUGUGUGUGUAUGUUGGGAAUGUGUACGCACAGCUCAGGGAUGAAGAACAUGCUCAAGCUGCGCUUCAGAAUCUCACUGGGAGGUUCAAUGCAGGGGAUAGACAAAAGUCCCAGGCAGCAAUCUCCCUGUGAUCAUCGCUGAGAAAAUAUCGUGGGCAUUUUGAGUUCGAAUUCAGCUAGCAUGUGAUCUGUGCAAGAUAUCCAUAUAUGGAUCAAUGUUAUGGACUCUUCUCAACCUAUGGACCUCAAAUUUCAAUGCGUCUUCCAUCAUUUAUCCUACCUCACUAUGUAU